rnacentral:misc_RNA from 1 species
AACGCACGAGACCUGCGGACCUGCGGAGGGAUCAUCAAAGGAAAUCUUUUAUACAAGAAGUGUUGAGGGGGGGAGGGGUUGGUUGGUUGGAUGCCACCAGCAGCCCUCUUGCACUUCAACAAACAAACAAACGAUCGCAACUAGUAGAGCAGAAAGUAGAUAGAUAGAUAGAUGGAUGGAGGGGGGUGUUAGUAAAAGUGUUUGCCUGAUAAUCAGAUUGGAAUGGAUGAAUUGGAUGGA